ACCGCUCUCCGGCGCAGGGCGGGCGGGUCCUGCGUGGCGCCGCGUCGCGGGCGCAUGCGUAGACGGGGUGACUUUGAGGCCGGCGACCGAGGCUGGGCUGGGAGCAGGAUGCUGAACAGGCUCGUGGGGCCCCGCUACGCCCAACUGCUCCGGAACUGGACCCCCACAUUGACCACAUGGGGCACCGUAGGCGCUGUGGGAUUGGUAUGGGCGACAGACUGGAGACUGAUCCUUGACUAUGUUCCCUACAUUAAUGGCAAGUUUAAGAAAGAUGAUUAAGCUGCUGCCCUUCCCUCUAAUGGUCCUACGGUACUGAAUGGAGUAGCUUGAGAGUUUUUGAAUUUAGCAGUGUUUCUCAACUGAUGGGUCACAAAAGGCAAUCAAGGGGGUUGUGAGACAUUGAAAAUUUUCUUGCAAUCUAAAGCAAAAGAAAAUCUCUCUCCCUGCACACACUUUCAUAGCAAGCAUUUGUCAACCUUUUGGAACACAUGCAAAUUAUGAAGCAUUUAUGGGCUGGACUUGGUGUAUUGGAUCCAUUCUUCCUCUGAGACCCUAGUCUGAUGUGAAUUUGAAAUGCUCAUUGUGGACUUCAGGAGAGGCUGUGAUGUUACUUUAUCUUCUACUGAACAGUUAUGAACAAUCAAAUUUAAUUUAACAUGCUGGCUGCACAAAUGUGUGAACUUGCUUCUGGGUCACUUUCACAGGUGGUCUCGUUCUGAUGGGCUGAAUUCAUAAAACAGAUGUACAAAAUAAAUCAUAAACUGAA